CCUACGGGAGGCAGCAGUGAGGAAUAUUGGUCAAUGGGCGUAAGCCUGAACCAGCCAAGUCGCGUGAGGGAUGAAGGUUCUAUGGAUCGUAAACCUCUUUUAUAAGGGAAUAAAGUGUGGGACGUGUCCUGUUUUGUAUGUACCUUAUGAAUAAGGAUCGGCUAACUCCGUGCCAGCAGCCGCGGUAAUACGGAGGAUCCGAGCGUUAUCCGGAUUUAUUGGGUUUAAAGGGUGCGUAGGCGGCCUUUUAAGUCAGCGGUGAAAGUCUGUGGCUCAACCAUAGAAUUGCCGUUGAAACUGGGAGGCUUGAGGAUGUUUGAGGCAGGCGGAAGGCGUGGUGUAGCGGUGAAAUGCUUAGAUAUCACGCAGAACCCCGAUUGCGAAGGCAGCCUGCCAAGCCAUGACUGACGCUGAUGCACGAAAGCGUGGGGAUCAAACAGGAUUAGAUACCCCAGUAGUC
rnacentral:rRNA from 1 species